rnacentral:rRNA from 1 species
UACGGGGGGGGCAAGCGUUGUUCGGAAUUACUGGGCGUAAAGGGCUCGUAGGUGGCCAACUAAGUCAGACGUGAAAUCCCUCGGCUUAACCGGGGAACUGCAUCCGAUACUGGAUGGCUUGAAUCCGGGAGAGGGAUGCAGAAUUCCAGGUGUAGCGGUGAAAUGCGUAGAUAUCUGGAGGAAUACCGGUGGCGAAGGCGGCAUCCUGGACCGGCAUUGACGCUGAGGAGCGAAAGCUAGGGGAGCAAACGGG